rnacentral:rRNA from 1 species
GACAGAGGCUGCAAACGUUGUUCGGAAUUACUGGGCAUAAAGCGCACGUAGGCGGUUCGUUAAGUCAUGUGUGAAAUCCCUCGGCUCAACCGAGGAAUUGCGCCUGAUACUGGCGGGCUAGAGAUCGAUAGGGGUGAGUGGAACUCCAGGUGGAGCGGUGAAAUGCGUAGAUAUCUGGAGGAACACCGGUGGCGAAAGCGGCUCACUGGAUCGAUACUGACGCUGAGGUGCGAAAGCUAGGGUAGCAAACGGG